UGUUGUGUGUGUACUUCAUCUGUAUAUUUGUGUCGCUUGUAAGCAUGUAUCACCAUUGUAGGACUAUGGUGUGGGGCGUGGUGGGACUUAAUGCAUUAUUGAUUUACUGAAACGUUUUGCACAUGUCGCCCCUCUGGUUCGCCUCACUACUUUCCCUGCUCCACACCAGCAUGCCUGCGCCCACCCGCCGGGGACACAGGCAGGCUUUAAAUAUUUCAUAAGCCGGUUUUCAUUAAUAUAAUGGGAAUUAUCCAAGUCACUAAAUCUAAUUAUCAAGUGUGAAGUUCAGUCACCCAUCCCUUUCCCUCAACCUUACCUUAGCCCAAACACAUAGAAAAAUGUAGGCUCUACCUAAUCCUCCACUCUCCACGUCUACCGUCGCUCUCCCCUGCUCUUUAUUUUCUCAAUACCUUUUGAUGUCCUUCUAGUCCUCCCUCUCUAUUUUCAUCCUCUCCUAGUUUCUCCUUGUGCAUAUAUUAUGAAGAUAUUUUGUGAUAGUUUGGUUAGUUUUGGUCUUUGUUAAGGGUUUUGUUAAUCUGUUCGUGCACACAAAAUGUUUUGACGAAGCUAGCCGAAGUCUACACCCCUUCGUUGGCGAUUGGUCAACUGUAGGGGUGGCACGAGUUUCUUUUUCUCGAUUUAGUCCGAAAACUCAGUGUGAUUCAACAUGGCGAACGACAACUUCAAGCGUUUCUUAGCCAAGGAGGGACAGAAGUAAGCAAGACGGAAAGCAACAUGCCAUCUUCACCAGAGAAUGAGGCACAAACACCAGUGAAUGGGGACAGCACCAGGUUUUGUUCUCUGCUCCCCAGCAUUGCCUCUUCACUGGCCCCCAGCACUGACUGGUCAUUAACCCCCAGCCCAUCUCCCGCACUGAGCUGCAGUGCAGAAUGGAAAACCAUCUCAAUGAAGGACCUGGGAAACCCUAUCCUGGGCCCACCUCCAAUACCUACUCCACUGGCUUGCUCCUCACCAAUGCCACAGAGCAGCAGCAGUAGUAGCAGGACUGUGAGAAGAAGUGAGAAAAGAGCUGCAGACUCAGACACAUCACCCGUAAAGGUGUUGCAAAGACCGAUCUCAAGAUCUGGAGAACGUCAUGCAUUGAGCCACCCAGAGGGCCCUGGCACCUAUAGCUCAUUUCAUGGAUGAACUAUUGACAACUCUGGUUGGAAUUCGAUCACCAGCUGCAUGAAUUUGUGCAUGACUUCAAGAAGACAUGCCCCGAACGACUGGGACCACAGUGAAAUUAACAACUUGUUGUUCAGACAUCUCAGGAGUCAGACUCGAGACAAUUUUAUUCCAUAGACACUUGUCUUGUUGUUUGCGUGUCUGUUUUUCACAGACACAUUUGUACUAUUCUUCAAAUAAUUAAUUUGUCUGACACUUUAAUGAUAUUUCAUUGAUGUGUUGUUUACAUGUCUGUUCUUAGCAGACACUGUUGUAUUGUGGUUUACUUUCAGAGCCCAGAUGCAAGAAUAAGGUUAAUUUUUUUUGUGUGCUGAAAAAGCUCUGUUUCUUCAUCUCGAUACAAGGUGUUUCAAUGCAUUCUAUUUGAUAAUCAAGUACUGACAAUGUUGGAAGAGCUGUGUGCUGCAGACCUUACAGGCUAUCUUUUGUGUGGUGUAGUUCAAUCUAAAUUAACGCACACAGACAUCAUAAAAUGUGGUUUCAAUUCAUUAACAAGAUUAAAACUACAUUUUAGUACGAAAUACUUUGGUUCACAGUGCACACAAAGAAUGCAUGCCUCCAUCAAGGGGUGUGUGUGUGAGCAGUCCAAACAAAGUCCUAUUCUGCAUGAUUGGCUGGUCAUGGGUUGAGUUGUCCUCUCCUAACCAUGUCUUUUUGCACACAUGCGGGGGGGGGGGGGAGAAGACAUCCCUGAGCUUGUUUCUUGUUUUGCUUGCAAGCUGUGUCGCCCUGGCACGGGAGAGUCUACCUGGCUCUUGGAGAUUGUUGUCCCCAGGCCACAACCCACUUCCACUCUCCAGGUUGGUAGUUGCCAGAAGGGAGGGAGUGUCCCCAAAAGCGGGAGACACUUAUCUUUCGUUUCGGUUCAAGAGCUUCAAUUGUGGAGGACAGGUAGUUGUGGAAGGCAAGACAAGCCUUCAGAAUGUCCUUAGCCUUUUCAGGGGUACACUCGAUUAGCCGAACAAGAGUCCUCAUCCUUGCAGCCAUGAUGCCGAAUGCAUUCUCUAUGACAACAAGAGUGGCGGUAGUUGUAGGUACGCCCAGGUUCAUUGAGAUGGACACCUGUGAAUGAGAGAUAAUAAGAAUAUAUGUUAGAUAUAAAAUAUAGCCUAUUUGGUAAAAAAAAUAAAAAAAAUAAUUCCAGAACCAUAUUCCAAAAGCCUUAAUAAAAUGGCAUUUCUCAUACAGAUGUGCAUACAUCUAUACAGUAACAAGGGAAAUUAGAAAUAGAAAAAUUGAUUCCAACAUUCUAUUAUCAACAUAUCUGGAUAAGGGCGACUCAGUUUCUCAUGUAGGGAGAAAGCUGCAUCUCCCAGAAAAACAUGGACUUGGUGUUGUGGUGCCUAGUAGGACAGCUGGUGGUGGUAAAUCAAGAGUCUUCUGCAGCAGUUUGGACCCAAAAUCUUGAAACACUCAACCCGUGCUCUCUUGGCCGUAUGUCCCUACAUCCGUUUCUGUAUCUUUCCUAUUAUAUGUCUUGCUAGGUAAAACAAAUCUAGUAGAUCCCGGACAAGAGGAGAGGGUGAGGUAAUGGAGGUAAAGGGGAUGGGUGAGGGUGAAGAGGGAUUAGGCAGAGGGUGAAGUGUGAUGAGGUAGAGGAGGAGGAUGGGUGAAGAGAGGUGCGGUAGAGGAGGAGGGAGUGAAGAGGGGUAAAGCCGGGUCCUCUAUGCCUUAAAGCCCCUGGUAACCGGCUUAGCAACAAACAGCUGUGCAUUUAAUUAGGCCUGUCUGGUACCACACACACACACACAGUUUACCAUAUGGAAAAUCCGUACUCGUCAAGGUUUUAUAUUUUUGGUGGGGUUGGGGGUAUAUCAGAUUGAAUAUUGCAGAUUGAUGGAAGCCACAAUGCAUAAUUUCCAAUCCCCCUUAUAUAUAUAUUUUGUAAAUAUACAGUACCAGUCAGAAUUUUGGACACAUCUACUCAUUCAAGGGUUUUUCUUUAUUUUUUACUAUUUUCUACAUUGUAUAAUAUUAGUGAAGAUAUCAAAACUAUGAAAUAACACAUAUGGAAUAAUGUUGUAACCAAAAAAAGAAACCAAAAUAUAUUUUAUAUUUGAGUUUCUUCAAAGUAGCCACCCUUUGCCUUGAUGACAGCUGUGCACACUCUUGUCAUUCUCUCAACCAGUUUCAUGAGGUAGUUACCUGGAAUGCAUUUCAAUUAACAGGUGUGCUUUGUUAAUUUGUGGAAUUUCUUUCCUUAAUGCGUUUGAGCAAUUCAGUUGUGUUGUGACGAGGUAGGGGAUAGAUAUUCGGUAAAAGACCAAGUUCAUAUUAUGUCAAGAACAGCUCAAAUAAGCAGAGAAACGACAGUCCAUCAUUACUUUAUGACAUAAAGGUCAGUCAAUGCAGAACAUUUCAAAAACUUUGAAAGUUUCUUCAAGUGCAGUUGCAAAACCAUCAAGCGCUAUGAUGAAACUGGCUCUCAUGAGGACCGCCACAGGAAAGGAAGACCCAUAGUUACCUCUGCUGCAGAGGAUAAGUUAUUUUUGGUUCCAACCCCGUGUCUUUGUGAGACGCAGAGUAGGUGAACGGAAGAUCUCUGCAUGUGUGGUUCCCACCGUGAAGCAUGGAGGAGUAGGUGUGAGGGUGCUUUGCUGGUGACAUUGUCUGUGAUUUAUUUAGAAUUCAAGGCACAGUUAACCAGCAUGGCUACCACAGCAUAUUGCAGUGAUCCACCAUCCCAUCUGGUUUGCACUUAGUCCCACUAUCAUUUGUUU